CUUCAUCUUGGCGACCUUGCCUUGCCGUGGAUUGUUUUUAGUUGUUUGUAUUAUUUGUGCUUUUUAAGAAUAUUUUUUUAAUUCGGAUACUUUUAUAAUAGCUUUAAUAGUAUUAUUAACAUAGUGCAUAAAAUGGUGUCCUGUUUUUAACGCAGUUGGAGUAGCAGAAACAAAUGUAGAUAAAAAAAUCUGCAGGAAUAACGUUUCAAUUAUGACAGAAGCUCAAAACAAAUGACUGUGAAUGAAAAGCCCUAUUAAAAGCUUUCCAGAAGAUCCUGCGAAGAAGACAUGAAGUAUAGAUCAGAUUUGUUAAUAGAGGAGUAUGUUCAAAACACUUUUUAGAAAAAGAUAUUGACAGAACUUCACUUUCAUCUGUUCGUUUGAGAGACUGUGCUGUUCCAAUAGCUUAUGUCACACAGAAUCAGCUGAGAGAAGUGGUCUACAAAAAACCAGAAAGGAAACGGAAUAUGUGGCUACGAAAAGCAAAAGAAAGGUUUACAAAGCAAAUGUGACACAUUUUUUUAUAAUAUUUAGGAAUGUCAGCAAAUUACAUUAAAAAAUGUAUGUAAAGAUUUUUUGCAAUAAAAAUGUUUAUAUUUA